rnacentral:tRNA from 1 species
AAAUCCGUCGACUUUAGAAAUCGUGAGGGUUCAAGUCCCNNUAUCCCCA